rnacentral:rRNA from 1 species
GCAGUCGAGCGGGGGAAGGUAGCUUGCUACUUGACCUAGCGGCGGACGGGUGAGUAAUGCUUAGGAAUCUGCCUAUUAGUGGGGGACAACAUCUCGAAAGGGAUGCUAAUACCGCAUACGUCCUACGGGAGAAAGCAGGGGACCUUCGGGCCUUGCGCUAAUAGAUGAGCCUAAGUCGGAUUAGCUAGUUGGUGGGGUAAAGGCCUACCAAGGCGACGAUCUGUAGCGGGUCUGAGAGGAUGAUCCGCCACACUGGGACUGAGACACGGCCCAGACUCCUACGGGAGGCAGCAGUGGGGAAUAUUGGACAAUGGGGGGAACCCUGAUCCAGCCAUGCCGCGUGUGUGAAGAAGGCCUUUUGGUUGUAAAGCACUUUAAGCGAGGAGGAGGCUACCGAGAUUAAUACUCUUGGAUAGUGGACGUUACUCGCAGAAUAAGCACCGGCUAACUCUGUGCCAGCAGCCGCGGUAAUACAGAGGGUGCAAGCGUUGAUCGGAUUUACUGGGCGUAAAGCGCGCGUAGGUGGGCCAUUAAGUCAAAUGUGAAAUCCC